GAUGAACGCUGGCGGCGUGCCUAAUACAUGCAAGUAGAACGCUGAAGGAGGACCUUUCUCUUCUGGAUGAGUGGCGAACGGGUGAGUAACGCGUAGGUAACCUGCCUGUUAGCGUGGGAUAACUAUUGGAAACGAUAGCUAAUACCGCAUGACAACAGUUAUUGCAUGAUAACUGUUUAAAAGGGGCAACUGCUCCACUACCAGAUGGACCUGCGUUGUAUUAGGUAGGUGGUGCGGUAAAGGCUCACCAAGGCGACGAUACAUAGCCGCACUGAGAGGGGGGUCGGCCCGCCUGAGAGUGUGACCCGGCACAGUGUCCCUCGGGUGCGGGCCAGAGGGCAUCUUGGGGCAUGGGUGGAAGUCUGAGCGCGCAAGGCCGCGGCAGGGAAGAAGGUCUUCGGGUGGUAAAGGUCUGUUGUCAGGGAAGAACCCGUUUGCGCCUGUAACGUUCCCACUGUGACGGUAUUUUACAAGAAAGCAACGGCUAACUACGUG
rnacentral:rRNA from 1 species